AUCUAUACUGUGAAACUGCGAAUGGCUCAUUAAAUCAGUUAUCGUUUAUUUGAUAGUACCUUACUACUUGGAUAACCGUGGUAAUUCUAGAGCUAAUACAUGCUAAAAACCUCGACUUCGGAAGGGGUGUAUUUAUUAGAUAAAAAACCAAUGCCCUUCGGGGCUCCUUGGUGAAUCAUGAUAACUUAACGAAUCGCAUGGCCUUGCGCCGGCGAUGGUUCAUUCAAAUUUCUGCCCUAUCAACUUUCGAUGGUAGCAUAGUGGGCUACCAUGGUAUCAACGGGUAACGGGGAAUUAGGGUUCUAUUCCGGAGAGGGAGCNUGAGAAACGGCUACCACAUCCAAGGAAGGCAGCAGGCGCGCAAAUUACCCAAUCCCGACACGGGGAGGUAGUGACAAUAAAUACUGAUACAGGGCUCUUUUGGGUCUUGUAAUUGGAAUGAGUACAAUUUAAAUACCUUAACGAGGAACAAUUGGAGGGCAAGUCUGGUGCCAGCAGCCGCGGUAAUUCCAGCUCCAAUAGCGUAUAUUAAAGUUGUUGCAGUUAAAAAGCUCGUAGUUGAACCUUGGGCCUGGCUGGCCGGUCUGCCUCACCGCAUGUACUGGUUCGGCCGGGCCUUUCCUCCUGGGGAUCCGCAUGCCCUUCACUGGGCGUGUUGGGGAACCAGGACUUUUACUUUGAAAAAAUUAGAGUGUUCAAAGCAGGCCUUUGCUCGAAUACAUUAGCAUGGAAUAAUAGAAUAGGACGUGCGGUCCUAUUUUGUUGGUUUCUAGGACCGCCGUAAUGAUUAAUAGGGAUAGUCGGGGGCAUCAGUAUUCAGUUGUCAGAGGUGAAAUUCUUGGAUUUACUGAAGACUAACUACUGCGAAAGCAUUUGCCAAGGAUGUUUUCAUUAAUCAGUGAACGAAAGUUAGGGGAUCGAAGACGAUCAGAUACCGUCGUAGUCUUAACCGUAAACUAUGCCGACUAGGGAUCGGGCGAUGUUAUUCUUUUGACUCGCUCGGCACCUUACGAGAAAUCAAAGUCU
rnacentral:rRNA from 1 species